GAUGAACGCUGACAGAAUGCUUAACACAUGCAAGUCGAUUCGAUUUACCUUCGGGUAUUGAGGAUGGCGGACGGGUGAGUAACGCGUAAGGAACUUGCCUCUUGGUCUGGGACAACUGUUGGAAACGACAGCUAAUACCGGAUAUUAUGAGAUUCUCGCAUGGGAAACUUAUGAAAGCUAUAUGCGCCAAGAGAGAGCCUUGCGUUCCGUUAGCUAGUUGGUGGGGUAACGGCCCACCAAGGCGACGAUGGAUAGCCGGCCUGAGAGGGUGAACGGCCACAAGGGGACUGAGACACGGCCCUUACUCCUACGGGAGGCAGCAGUGGGGAAUAUUGGACAAUGGGCCACAAGCCUGAUCCAGCAAUUCUGUGUGCACGAUGAAGGUCUUCGGAUUGUAAAGUGCUUUCAGUUGGGAAGAAGAAAGUGACGGUACCAACAGAAGAAGCGACGGCUAAAUACGUGCCAGCCGCCGCAGUAA
rnacentral:rRNA from 1 species